rnacentral:rRNA from 1 species
GAUGAACGCUGGCGGCGUGCCUAAUACAUGCAAGUCGCGCGAACGGACGAGAAGCUUGCUUCUCUGAUGUUAGCGGCGGACGGGUGAGUAACACGUGGAUAACCUACCUAUCAGACUGGGAUAACUUCGGGAAACCGGAGCUAAUACCGGAUAAUAUUUUGAACCGCAUGGUUCAAAAGUGAAAGACGGUCUUGCUGUCACUUAUAGAUGGAUCCGCGCUGCAUUAGCUAGUUGGUAAGGUAACGGCUUACCAAGGCAACGAUGCAUAGCCGACCUGAGAGGGUGAUCGGCCACACUGGAACUGAGACACGGUCCAGACUCCUACGGGAGGCAGCAGUAGGGAAUCUUCCGCAAUGGGCGAAAGCCUGACGGAGCAACGCCGCGUGAGUGAUGAAGGUCUUCGGAUCGUAAAACUCUGUUAUUAGGGAAGAACAUAUGUGUAAGUAACUGUGCACAUCUUGACGGUACCUAAUCAGAAAGCCACGGCUAACUACGUG